rnacentral:lncRNA from 1 species
AUUUUAUUGAAAAUUGUGUGGUUAAAAGUAGGUGUUAGGAUUAUCGACCCAACACCAACAAACAAUCGUAAAACAGUAAAAAUAAAGCAAGAACAUAAAAUUGAACACAGAAAUUUUCACCCAGUUCAACUUGAAAAUGGCCUAAUCUGGGGGGGCUCAGAGGUAAGCCCGUCACUAGCAAGAAACCUUCAAGAGAGUGUACAACCAGUUGAAGAAACCACAUCAUACCCACUAUAUGAUCAUCGAUCCACAAGGAUCUCUCAAUAACUCGAAAACCUAGCCUACAAAACUAGACAAAACCUUCCCAAGAACACACUACAGAUUUACCAGCCACAAUCAGGGCCUAAAACUCUGUACCAUAGUUCUAUCAUCAUCAGAUAUCAACAAAGUUAUUACAAUAAUCUUCACUGGUUCUUCAAUUCAAAAGAGAAAAGAAGAAGCAGAAAACAUGAAGGAACAAGAGAGAGAGAGAGAGAAACUUGAAGGGACAAUUUCUGCCAAAAUGAAAAGAAAAGUGCCGGCUGACUUCUUCUCACCAACCCUUAAAGUUUCCUUUUGCAUUAAUUAUAUGAGACUAAAUCUCAACCAUAGAUGUGGAUCAAUGGUCCAUAAAUGAUAAGAGAAAAACCAUAACUCUAGUGACAUUAUUUUAUCCAAUAACCGAAUAACAUCUGUCCAUGGAGUAUAAAGAGUAGAAAACGUUUUUUCACUUAUGGAUGUGCUGUUUGAGAAUCACGACUUCACAGUAGGAGAGAGAAAAUUUUAAUUUAAUGUAAUGAAAAAUAAUGGGGCUCAAAUGGGGGCUAG